AAACUGGGUGACAGCCAGAGUUCCCUAAAGUGGGAAGUCAGAGCUACAUGCACACAGUGUCUUCAGAAGGUGAAAAUAAAUACUUCCCUGUGCUCCUUUUACUCAACCCCUGGGAUAUCUAAUCUUGCCAGGCCUUGGCCAGUUGAGGUUCUGUUCCACCUGCCUGCCUGGCCCUUUCCUUCAUUACCAUCCAGAGUGCUCGCCUCCUGGGGAUUCUCAUGGGCUCCAUUAUGGCUUGAUUUACUCCAAGUGCAGAAGUCUUGAGUGGACCUAGGAGGUAGGUGGGAUAUUUUUUUUCACUAGGAUACAGCUCAUGCCAACCCAGCCUAAGUGAGUUCAGAAUCAGGAUGUCUUGCCCUAAAAGAUAAACAGUCAAAAUGCCACCAAACUGUUCACUAGUGAUGUGUGGCAAAUCAAAUCAACUGUUGAAGAAGGGGUGAGUUUCCUGUGCUACGAGCACCUGUCACUGUUGGUACUUGCAGGAGGCUUCUGCUGGGUAUGUUUUGGAAGUGAGUGUCACUGCUUGGCUUUGUUUAGCGGGUUCUCCUUCCCACUUGUUCUUUGACCUGCUGACUUGUGACUUGCAGAAACAUAGGCAGUAGUCCUAGCCUGGUAAAGACCCUCCACCACCCCUAUAAGUUUGAUUCCUAUGCAGGUUUGGGAGAGGAGGCCUAUUGGGCUCUUGGAUGGAACCCUUUCCCCUAUUAAACAAACCAGAGACAGAAUCACUGCUGACUCAGGAUCUCCUGGUUUGGAAGCGUAAUGUGCCUCGAUCCUCUUUCCAAGCAGGCCUCACCAGUCUCUUUCUCUUUCCUGCUUCACCCCUGCAAUGAGCCAAGAACCAACACUACAUCCACCUAGAACUGCAGAAGGGCUUGUGGUUUCAACCAAGACCCAUCCUGAGCAAGGGACUUGGCUUGGUGCUUUUGAUCCCAAAGUUCCCACACUGGCAGUGGCCUGCUGGGGCAGUGGCAUCUGUCACGGUGUUUUCUCUAGCAGGUGGAGAUUAUGGAACCUACAUAUGGGUCUGGAAAAACUGUACACUGUUGUCACCUUGACCAUUAAAAACC
rnacentral:lncRNA from 1 species